AUUUAUGGCCAUAUCACCCCAAACGCACCAGAUCUCAUCUGAUCUCAGAAGCUAAGCAGGGCCAGGCCUGGUUAGUACUUUAGACAGGAAGAAAUGACAAUGAAAACAACUUAGCUUUGUAAUCU
rnacentral:rRNA from 1 species